rnacentral:rRNA from 1 species
UACGAAGGGGGCUAGCGUCGUUCGGAAUCACUGGGCGUAAAGCGCACGUAGGCGGAUUUUUAAGUCAGGGGUGAAAUCCCGAGGCUCAACCUCGGAACUGCCUUUGAUACUGGGGAUCUGGAGUCCGGGAGAGGUGAGCGGAACUGCGAGUGUAGAGGUGAAAUUCGUAGAUAUUCGCAAGAACACCAGUGGCGAAGGCGGCUCACUGGCCCGGAACUGACGCUGAGGUGCGAAAGCGUGGGGAGCGAACAGG